rnacentral:rRNA from 1 species
AGAGUUUGAUCAUGGCUCAGGAUAAACGCUGGCGGCGUGCCUAACCUAUGCAAGUCGAACGAGGCUUCGAGCCGAGUGGCGGACGAGUGAGUAACACGUACCUUACCUACCUAUAAGUGGGGAAUAAUUCGUCGAAAGACGGACUAAUACCGCAUGUGCUCUACGGAGUAAAGCUUUUGCGCUUAUAGAUGGGGGUGCGUCCUAUCAGUUAGUUGGUGAGGUAAUGGCUUACCAAGACUAUGACGGGUAGCUGGUCUGAGAGGAUGAUCAGCCACGCUGGGACUGAGAUACGGCCCAGACUCCUACGGGAGGCAGCAAGUGGGAAUAUUGCACAAUGGGCGAAAGCCUGAUGCAGCGACGCCGCGUGAGGGAUGAAGGUCUUUGGAUCGUAAACCUCUUUUAUAGACCACCAAGAUAUGAGGGGUCUAUGAAAAAGCACCUGCUAAUCGUGCACAGCAGGUAAUACGUGAGCAGCCGCGGUAAUAC